AGUGAACGCUGGCGGUAGGCCUAACACAUGCAAGUCGAACGGCAGCACAGUAAGAGCUUGCUCUUACGGGUGGCGAGUGGCGGACGGGUGGGGAAUACAUCGGAAUCUACUUUUUCGUGGGGGAUAACGUAGGGAAACUUACGCUAAUACCGCAUACGACCUACGGGUAAAAGCAGGGGAUCUUCGGACCUUGCGCGAUUGAAUGAGCCGAUGUCGGAUUAGCUAGUUGGCGGGGUAAAGGCCCACCAAGGCGACGAUCCGUAGCUGGUCUGAGAGGAUGAUCAGCCACACUGGAACUGAGACACGGUCCAGACUCCUACGGGAGGCAGCAGUGGGGAAUAUUGGACAAUGGGCGCAAGCCUGAUCCAGCCAUACCGCGUGGGUGAAGAAGGCCUUCGGGUUGUAAAGCCCUUUUGUUGGGAAAGAAAAGCAGCAGGUUAAUACCCCGCUGUUCUGACGGUACCCAAAGAAUAAGCACCGGCUAACUUCGUG
rnacentral:rRNA from 1 species